CCUAGCUUGCUAGGUGGAUUAGUGGCGCACGGGUGAGUAAUAUAUAGAUAACGUGCCUCUUAGUCUGGGAUAGCCAUUGGAAACGAUGAUUAAUACUAGAUAUUCCUUCUAACAAUAAUGUUAGUCGGGAAAGUUUUUCGCUAAGAGAUCGGUCUAUAUCCCAUCAGCUAGUUGGUAGUGUAAGAGACUACCAAGGCAAUGACGGGUAGCGGGUUUGAGAGGAUGAUCCGCCACACUGGUACUGAGACACGGACCAGACUCCUACGGGAGGCAGCAGUGAGGAAUAUUGCACAAUGGAGGAAACUCUGAUGCAGCAACGCCGCGUGGAGGAUGACGCAUUUCGGUGUGUAAACUCCUUUUAUAUGUCAAGAAAAUGACGGUAGCAUAUGAAUAAGCACCGGCUAACUCCGUGCCAGCAGCCGCGGUAAUACGGAGGGUGCAAGCGUUAUUCGGAAUCACUGGGCGUAAAGGA
rnacentral:rRNA from 1 species